CGAGCAUGCCGAAGGGUUGAAUGCUCAGACUUUGUUCUGGGUAUUAUGAUUCCUUUUUUUUCAUUAUUGAAUAGGAAGAUCUGAUGC